AAAAACCGACACAGGUGGGCGAGGAGAAUAUCCACAGGCGCUCGGGAGAACUCUCGUGAAGGAACUAGGCAAAAUAACCCCGUAACUUCGGGAGAAGGGGUGCCCCAUUAAGGUGUUGAGCCUGAAGGGGUCGCAGAGAAUUGGGUCAAGCGACUGUUUACUAAAAACACAGGACUCUGCCAACUCGUAAGAGGAGGUAUAGGGUCUGACGCCUGCCCGGUGCCGGAAGGUUAAGGGGAGAGGUUAGUGCCGCAAGGUGCAAAGCUUUGAACCGAAGCCCCGGUAAACGGCGGCCGUAACUAUAACGGUCCUAAGGUAGCGAAAUUCCUUGUCGGGUAAGUUCCGACCUGCACGAAUGGCGUAACGACUUGACCGCUGUCUCCACGAGAGACCCGGUGAAACUGUAGCGCCAGUGAAGAUGCUGGCUACCCGCGUCAAGACGGAAAGACCCCGUGAACCUUUACUAUAUCUUGGUAUGGAAUUCUGGCAGGGUCUGUGCAGGAUAGGUGGGAGGCUUUGAAGCCGGGGCGCUAGCUUCGGUGGAGCCGUCGUUGAGAUACCACCCUGAUCGUGCUGUAGUUCUAACCUGGGCCCGUGAUCCGGGUCGGGGACAGUGCCAGGUGGGUAGUUUGACUGGGGCGGUCGCCUCCUAAAUGGUAACGGAGGCGCUCAAAGGUCGGCUCAGCACGGUUGGAAAUCGUGCGUCGAGUGUAAGGGCAGAAGCCGGCUUAACUGCGAGACCUACAAGUCGAGCAGGUGCGAAAGCAGGACCUAGUGAUCCGGUGGUUCCGAGUGGAAGGGCCAUCGCUCAACGGAUAAAAGGUACUCCGGGGAUAACAGGCUGAUCUCCCCCAAGAGUUCACAUCGACGGGGAGGUUUGGCACCUCGAUGUCGGCUCAUCGCAUCCUGGGGCUGGAGCAGGUCCCAAGGGUUGGGCUGUUCGCCCAUUAAAGCGGUACGUGAGCUGGGUUUAGAACGUCGUGAGACAGUUCGGUCCCUAUCUGACGCGGGCGUAGGAGGUUUGAGGGGAGCUGCCCCUAGUACGAGAGGACCGGGGUGGACGGACCGCUAGUGUGCCAGCUGUUCCGCCAGGAGCACCGCUGGGUAGCUAUGUCCGGCAGGGAUAAGCGCUGAAAGCAUCUAAGUGCGAAACCCGCCUCAAGAUGAGACCUCCCAGGGCGUAAGCCCUCUGAAGGCCCCUGGAAGAUGACCAGGUUGAUAGGCCGCAGGUGUAAGCGCUGUAAGGCGUUCAGCUUAGCGGUACUAAUCGGCCGUGCGGCUUGACCAC
rnacentral:rRNA from 1 species